AGACUGUAAGGGACGUCCCCAUCUAUGAGAGCAUCCGAGCUACACACAGUGAUUCACUGUUUACAUAACACAGUGGUUUGUGUUUGCCACACAGGCCAGGGGGCUUCUGAUGUUGUUCUGUCUGUUCCAGCCAAGGUCUGACUGGACAGCCCAGGCUGGCCACCCUGGGUAGCCUAGGCUGGCCUAUAAUUCCUCUGGAUCCUCCUGGCCCACUAUUUCAAGUGGCAUGAACCACCGUACCCCAGAUCCCAUAUUUUGAGAGAUCCUGAAUGUUUGCUUAAACAGACCUACAUGAUUAAACGUCUGUCUGGAGAGACAUUACUUUUGUUUUAAAAAGCUGCUGGAAGAGUCCAGAGAACAGAGUGAUCUGAAGAGGCACCUGAAGGAGGUCACAGCAGCCAUCAGCAAGGACCCACUGUACAUCCACAGACUGUGGUCAAAACCAACCCUCACAUCCACAGAGGCUGCCAUCCAGUCUAUGCUGAGUGCCUGAAGAACAAUGACCUUGGCAGAGCAGCACUGUGACAGAUCAAGGAGUGCAGAAGCCUGUGGCCCAAGGACAUCUUUGGACGCAGCUCUGAGGACGAGGUCCAGACACUCCUGAAUAUUUAUUUCCUCACCAAACCCUGGGACAGACCGGUAUUUACGCCCUAGUAGGGUCUAACCAUAGCCUGACUGAAAUCUGCACCAAGCUGAUGGAGCUGAACAUGGAGAUCCGAGACGUGAUCCGCGGGGAUCCGCAAAGUUUGGACAGAGUAUUCCCCUCUUGUUCCCUGUAGAAGUUUUUCUAAAGAAGAUGACUCAACUUCCAAUGUGUACAAUAUUCUCCAAACCGAGAAAGCCUAGGACCUCCUGAGACAGACUCUACCCAUCCUGAUGUGUGGCUACUGUUCACCAAACAAAGGCACCCAAUACUGGAGACAGGACUUCUGUUGUGGUACCCAAACUGACCACACUGAAGGACUUCAUCCUUCUAGAGACACUUUAGAUUGGCAAAAGUACAAUGCUUUUAUUCAGACG
ensembl:lncRNA